UUUAUACUCCCUCCGUCCCAAAAUUAUUCUCUUAGAUUAGUCUAGAUACGGAUGUAUAUAAUACGAAAAUGUGACUUGAUACAUCCGUAUUUAGACAAAUCUAAGACAAGAAUUUUGGGAUGGAGGGAGUACUUC
rnacentral:pre_miRNA from 1 species